CCAAAGCGGGUGCCAGUUCAUCACCAGAAGUCCUUGCGAAACGAAUCGUGCGGGAGCUGCCCGCCGGUACCGGGAACGCUGUAAACUGUAGUGGUGCAGGGAGUUCCGCGAGGAAGCGAACGCAAACCGCGAAGGAAGCAAAAUUAGUGACAAUUAUGGCGGCAUCUUUUUUCGCCGACUCCGCUGGCAAAAAGUGGCAAAUUCCGCGAGGGCCUUGACAGUGGCGCCACUUGUGCCUACACGUCGCCGGAGAAACUGUGCCGCCAUCCGGUGGAGAAAGCUGGAAGCUUCUUCGGGAAGAAGGACCGACCUAGUAAAGAACGAGAGGGACAGAGAAAGUGUCUGUUAUCUGUUGCGCUGCCAGCAGAACGAGAAGGCCGCGAUGUCGGGCUGCUGUGAUAACGAGGAACUGUUGUGCCAAGUGAAAGCGAGUCUUUUUAAUUGUUGAUAUGAUUCAUGACGCUUGUGCCGCCAUACUCUCUUUCUCUCUGCCCUCGGCCUCUUCACCCGCGAGGGACGAGGACCAGAGGAAGGCACGUGUGAGUGCGGUUUUCCAGCGAAAUGAUAAGGGACCCGAGCAGACUGUGCGCUGAGUGGUGGUCAGCAUUUGAUAACAACGGAACGGUCCGUUCUGACAAGUGAAUGACUUGUUGAUGUGACAACAUAGUGAGUGAGUACAGUUGUUCGGCUGUUGACGGUAGAUCGCAUUGUUGGUGGACGGCGUCGUUUGACGAGCAGAUCAAAUAAACAUCGGCGGGGGUGCAAGGAGGAGGUGCAUGACCAGACAUUCGCGCCGUGUAGACGGUUUCUGGUUGGAGCUUGGAUCGCGUGUGCUGGAUCACCAUAUACACUUUGGCGGUUGGUGAUGGGCUAGAAAGAGAGCGAGACCCCCGGACCCCUCGGCUCAAGUGUGGAGCCUUUCGUGCAGUCAACGUCGUUUUUGCUCUGGCAGUUGCUCGGUGGAGCGCAGCAAGUGUGGAUCGCGGAACAGAACCACCAUCAAGAACACUACACAGUGCACCCUGUCUGCACUACAGCAGCCCUACAUGACACACGUAACAUGUAGAACGUCAUCGUCAUCAUCGCUCUUGCCAAGGGUUGAAAAGUGAAAAAUAACGAAAAUCAGUGAUCGAACAAUGAAGGAGACGGAGUAAACGGUUGCAUCGGUUGCAUUUGCUAAAGAUAAUCGUGAAAUUUGUGAACCCCCUGUCGUUUGGCCUUCGUCAAGCAGCGGGCAAAACUCCGCGAAGCUACUCUCUGUCCAAGACAGCUGUGUGCGCGUGCAAAUGACAGUCUAUUGUGCGAUCAAAGUGUGCCCUUCUGUGCUGUGAUAAAUUCGGUGUGCACCCCGCCUUCUGGGAUUAUCCAAAAAUGGUUCCAGUCAGUUUGCAACUCAAAUCGCCUUCGAGAAUAUAGUUUCUCAGCAGAGACCUUCCUCCACGAACCCCAUCCAAUCGUGUGGACUUCAACGUCGCUCACUGAACGACUCCCAUGCUGGUCGUAAAUUGUCAAACAGGUGCAACACGUGUGCUGAUCUCAUGUUUCGCAAGCUGACAUCUGGUGGGUAAGACGACUCGCCCUUUACUUUUCCGCCAUUAGCUGCACACACCCGCGCGAGCGCGGUAAUUGACUUUGAAAGCCUUCUUCGCCAGCAGGAUCGGAGCGGAACUCACUUACUCAAACGUGGAGGGCAGGCGAGUUACAAAUUAAGUCAUAAAGGGCCAUAAAAGCAAAAUUUAUUAUCCUCCACGCUUGCUGGCUGUUCGAACACCCGAAAUCGAUUCUUGCCGGUUUGCUGGUUACAACAACGACGACGAUGGAGUGCCCUUUCCUCUCCGAAAAACCGAUCAUAAAUAAGCGACGAUGACGGCGACGGGUCGAACUCUGGCUCACUCUCUAUUACCCGAUCCAGAAACAGCAAAAAAAAAAAGAAUAAGCAAUUUAUGACCUUAACUUCUAUAGAUUUGAUACCACCUCUCACCCUCUUGAUCGCUGAUUGCCUACCUAUGCCGAUCAGAAUGGGGAGUGGAUUAUUACUCGUUGUCCAUUUUUGACUUGCCCGCGCUACAAAGUGUGCGAGCGUGCAAAAAGGACGUGUCAUAAAUUGGUGCAACUUUCCCCACAUUCAUCACGCGUAAUUUGGUUUUCGAGGUGCAUGGACGCCAUGUUUUUGACCCGGCAGCGAAACGCAGAGCGGAUGCUGGACCACGCAAACCACUUUUCGACUGCUAAUAACUUCCGACCUUGGCUGGGACUGCGAUGCACUCUCUAUGUGUAAAUAUUUACGAGCGCUGUUCUAAACCACAGACUGCUCAUCACUCGAACCGGUGCAAUCGCUGGAACUACUGCCCGGGGCUCGUCUGUUUGUUGUUGUUGCUUGCCCGUGUGUUUGAUUAUGAUUUGGAAAAUAAUUGAGUUUAGGUGGUUCGAUUUAUUUGCUAAACAAAUUACCCACUACCAUCCGGUUUGAGUCGGUUGGUGUGAGUUUGUGCUGGAAAUGUGAGG